AAAUGAGUCUUCAUUUGUGGUUAGCAAGCCAGCCCUUCAUUUCCCCACCAGGCUCAGAGUUUUGCAAACCAAAGUUGGGGGAUGGCUAGCGUGGCCUCCCGGCAGUUCCUGUUGCAGACAGCUAGAAGAUUCUCAAGAUGAUGGUCACGUCCGUUCAUUCAUCCAUUCGGUCAACAAAGACUACCACAGCACCCUCUGCAACUUCAAAGGAGAAAGGGACUCAGCACAAAUGCCCAGCAGGAGAGAGUGGACAAAAUGGCUCUUGUCACCAAUGGAAUGCUCUACAGCAAUUCGAAAGAAAGAAACACCUCUACAUGUCGAUGGAAAUAAACAAAAACUAGGUGCAAUGUGGUGUCCUGGAUGAAUCCUGGAACAGAAGGAGAACAUACGAGGAGAAACUGUUAAAGUCCAAAUAAAUUCUGGAACUCU